CAGCCGCCGCGGUAAUACGAACCGUGCGAACGUUAUUCGGAAUUACUGGGCUUAAAGCGCGUGUAGGCGGCUCGGCACGUCGGACGUUGAAAGCCCCCGGCUCAACCGGGGAAGUGGCGCCGAUACGGCCGAGCUGGAGGGAGGUAGUGGGGUCUGGAACUUCCGGUGGAGCGGUGAAAUGCGUUGAGAUCGGAAGGAACGCCCAUGGCGAAAGCGAGGCCCUGGACCUUUUCUGACGCUGAGACGCGAGAGCCAGGGGAGCGAACGGGAUUAGAUACCCCUGUAGUCCCUGUCUCUUAUU
rnacentral:rRNA from 1 species